ensembl:snoRNA
ACUGCCUGAAAAUCAUCACUGGCCUCCUCCAUGGCCUUGGGUGAGAUAACAGUGCCCACAGCAAAGGGAACACUAAGCUUAUUGUCCGUAAGUACAAACUAUGGGCAAUAAAACCCCUGUUCCUACACGU